GACGAACGCUGGCGGCACGCUUAACACAUGCAAGUCGAACGGAGAAUUUUGGAUUUAUUCAGAAUUCUUAGUGGCGGACGGGUGAGUAACACGUGAGCAACCUGCCUCUGAGAGAGGGAUAGCUUCUGGAAACGGAUGGUAAUACCUCAUAACAUAACGAAGCCGCAUGACUUUGUUAUCAAAGAUUUAUCACUCAGAGAUGGGCUCGCGUCUGAUUAGCUAGAUGGUGAGGCAACGGCUCACCAUGGCGACGAUCAGUAGCCGGACUGAGAGGUUGAACGGCCACAUUGGGACUGAGACACGGCCCAG
rnacentral:rRNA from 1 species